rnacentral:rRNA from 2 species
CCUACGGGAGGCAGCAGUGGGGAAUAUUGCGCAAUGGGGGGAACCCUGACGCAGCAACGCCGCGUGAGUGAAGAAGGCCUUCGGGUCGUAAAACUCUGUCAUUGGGGAAGAAGGACGUGACGGUACCCGAUGAGGAAGCCCCGGCUAACUACGUGCCAGCAGCCGCGGUAAUACGUAGGGGGCGAGCGUUGUCCGGAAUUACUGGGCGUAAAGGGUGCGUAGGCGGCCGAUUAAGUCAGAUGUGAAAUACCACGGCUCAACUGUGGGGGUGCAUAUGAAACUGGUUGGCUUGAGUGCAGGAGAGGAAAGUGGAAUUCCUAGUGUAGCGGUGAAAUGCGUAGAGAUUAGGAGGAACACCAGUGGCGAAGGCGACUUUCUGGACUGUAACUGACGCUGAGGCACGAAAGCGUGGGGAGCAAACAGGAUUAGAUACCCUGGUAGUC